rnacentral:rRNA from 1 species
CUGCAUGAAGCUGGAAUCGCUAGUAAUCGCAGAUCAGAAUGCUGCGGUGAAUACGUUCCCGGGUCUUGUACACACCGCCCGUCACACCAUGGGAGUUGGAAAUGCCCGAAGUCAGUGACCGAACCGAAAGGAAGGAGCUGCCGAAGGUGGAGCCGAUGACUGGGGUGAAGUCGUAACAAGGUACC